GAACGCACAUCUCCAGAGGCAGCUGCAGAGCGUCAAAGCAGAGUUCUCGACGGUAGCUUGAACCUGGCAAAAUGCAUUUGGAAAACCAUGCAAUGCGGUGUCGUGCAUGCAAACCUUGUGUGGAAGCAAAUACUGUAAACACGUUUUCUGGUGCAGAUUUUUAAGGAGGGAAAAUACAGUUGUUGAAAACUCCUGAAUGAUGUGUCCUCUCGCCAGAGUAUUCAUAUCUCCCGGACAUAUCUGCUCCAGGGUCGAUUUCAGGUGAUAUACAGAUCAUCCUGCUUCAGGAUAUUCAAGUUCCUCUAGCCAACCGGGAUAAGUGUUGAGCCCUUGCAUCACCACUAUGUAAGAGGGCGAUUCAAGACGUUUUUUUAAGACGAAAUUACAUUUCAUCUUCAACACCGAAAAAAGUACACCGCGUUUUUAUGACCGCCAAAUUUGUGGGAAAUAAGAUUGAAGAGGGUUUGAAGGCGGUGAAUCCAUUUUCAUAACUACGACUGGUCUACAGAGGGAGCCUCUGUUAAUCACUGCAAAUAUAAUUCUUUUUGCAUGAUGUUGGAGGUUUUCACAUUUGCUCACAAGUGGAUUCCUUUCUGCAAGUCAAUUCUGUCGAACCUCGUUACCCAACUAAAUUAUUUUCUUCUCACGUGACUUCUUCCCUUUCCGAACAGAGAAAUGAAUUGAAGGAGUAGGAUGGCGGGAUCGUGACAUGCACUUAUCAAUAAGGACUUGAAGAGCGUUAUCGUGAAGUUGAAGAUCACAUCACAUUGGGGCAGUGCAGGUGACACGAACCUUGGAAGCAUCGACGUGAAGAUAUUUCAAGGCACACUUUACAUCACCAGGCCAACAGGACUCGCGGAUGGAGAGUGGCAUUGUCAAGACAGUCAACUUCUCUUUAGCAGCCCAAUGCAAUGAGCUCACCGUUGAAUGUGCAAAGCAUUAUGAUCCCCAUAGAAGAGUGAUUACGGCACUGGAUGGAGACAAAUCGAGUUGUCACAGAUAAGCGUAAACAAUAAGUUGUACAAGAGAGAGUAGCGUCACUCAAACCAGUCAAUGAUGUAGCAUGUACUGAAACAUACAUAAACAUUUAAGACGAUGAUGAGCAAGAUGUGACAUCUCCUCCACAAGAAGAGCAACAGAUGAAAGAGAUACAAGUUGAAGAAGAAAGAUUAACUAUACUUAUUUGGCUAAGUGAGACAGAUUGUCAAAGAGAGUGAUUCUCAAGUUGUGAGAUCAUGCAAAGAGAAGUAGGAUCGAUGAACUUCAAGGCACGAUGAGGAACAUGUAUAAGUGACAACAGGGUCUAAUGCAAGCAAUCAGCAUGAUGAACAACUAUCAACAUCAAAGAAAAAGAUAACCAUCAGCGUCACGCACUCAGGAAUAAUUUUUACAAUCUUGAAUUUCCUUCAAAAAUCAAAGAAUCUUUGCUAGUACAGCCAGAUUACAGCUCGUAAAUGCAGGUGAUAGUGACAAGGCAAGUUUUAGAAGAGUUAAUCAAAGUUGUAAAAUCGACAUGAGUGAAGUCAUCGUCACAUCAAGCAUGAGCACAUGUUGAGUAUCAAGAGAUAUGCCUCAUUCACAUCUACAGCUUGUGGUGAGUUACCAAAGAUUGAAGCUAAGGUGGCACCUAUUCAUCAUUACAUCCAAUCACAUGGUGAGUUACCAAAGAUUGAAGCUAAGGUGGCACCUAUUCAUCAUUACAUCCAAUCACAUUAUUUCAAGGGAAGGUGUCUAGAUUCAAUGAACCUAGCUCAUCUAGAUAGCUAUCACAUAGGCACAAAGAUCAAUGUACCUAUUGUCAUCAUCUAUUGGUUGAAUUUUCCAAGGACAUGUGUCCUAUCAAAUGUAAUUAUAUCAUUGGUCAUGCAUUAAAUGCUUUGCAAUAGGGUUUUGAUCUUGUAAUCUUGGCCAUUGAUCUCUAAUCGAUCUGAGCCACUAAAAUGUAAUGAGAGCACUAUAUAAGGCCUCACUUCUUCA